rfam:Ictidomys tridecemlineatus contig093559, whole genome shotgun sequence.
CCUUUAGUUUUGAGGUUGGUGUACUGUGUGUGAGUAUGCAUAGUUAUCACACACAGUCACUAUCUUCGAAAGUGAGGGUGC